rnacentral:rRNA from 1 species
GACGAACGCUGGCGGCGUGCUUAACACAUGCAAGUCGAACGGAAAGGCCCUGCUUUUGUGGGGUGCUCGAGUGGCGAACGGGUGAGUAACACGUGAGUAACCUGCCCUUGACUUUGGGAUAACUUCAGGAAGCUGGGGCUAAUACCGGAUAGGAGCUCCUGCUGCAUGGUGGGGGUUGGAAAGUUUCGGCGGUUGGGGAUGGACUCGCGGCUUAUCAGCUUGUUGGUGGGGUAGUGGCUUACCAAGGCUUUGACGGGUAGCCGGCCUGAGAGGGUGACCGGCCACAUUGGGACUGAGAUACGGCUCAGACUCCUACGGGAGGCAGCAGUGGGGAAUAUUGCACAAUGGGCGGAAGCCUGAUGCAGCAACGCCGCGUGCGGGAUGACGGCCUUCGGGUUGUAAACCGCUUUCGCCUGUGACGAAGCGUGAGUGACGGUAAUGGGUAAAGAAGCACCGGCUAACUACGUG